ensembl:lncRNA
GGGUACAGAGCGCCGUUCACAACAGCCAAGACGCGGAAUCAACCGAGGUGGCCAUCAACAGAAAACGGGGUAUAUAAACACAGUGGAAUAUUGUCGAGCCCCCAACAGGAAUCAAAUCCUAUCCUUUGUGGCAGAAAAUGGAUGGAACAGGAAAUUGUUAAGAGGAUUGGCAUUAGCCUGGUAAAGGGAAGAGGAAAGGUAUUCCAGCCAAGCCGGAGGAAGAGGCCGAGCAGAGUGGAGCGAGUAGAAGACUGAGGUCUUGGCCGCUGCUGGAGCUCAGAGGUCAGGUGGGAGGAGAGAGCCGAGUGGGCAGCCUGGGAUGCCGAGUGGGCAGCCUGGGCUUUAGCGUGGAGGCAGUGGAGAGCCACCGGAGGCGUUUGGGCAUGGAAAGGGCAAAUCUGUACUUUUGCAGGAGGGCUGGGGCCAUGGAAUGAACAGCAGGUGAGAAAAGUGAGAGAGGGGGCCAGGGCACUCAGCUGGGGUCUCUUUCAGGGGCACCCACAUAGGAGACUGGAAGCCUGGCUUGGCCAUGUUCCAGCUGACUCACUCAACAAGUCUCCAUUGGGGGGGUGGGGUAGGAUUUGUUUCAGACACGUCUGGAAGGGGCGGUGGCAGUACCUGAGGAGUUCGUGGAUGUGGAAGGGAAGCAAGGAAAAGCAACGGAUGACCCAAGCCUGGGGCUCAGCACAUCGCUAGGACUCAGAAAAUACUGGCUACCACCAUGACCGUGGUGUCAUUGAUGCGUCCAACCCAGAAACCCCAGCGGGGCCAGCAGAUUUCAACGACCGGGGAGCCCCAGAGGCUUGCGUGGAGCCUGCACAGCGGAUCCUGGAGAGUGCAAUCAUUUAGGCAGGUGGAUCAUUUAGGCAGGUUAUUCCAGAGCGCGUCCGUGUGCUGGGACCCUGCGGGCGCCGCCGUCCAGGGAAACAGAAGACAAGAUCAGCCCUCACCCCCUGCCCAGGGGCUCUGAGCCAGGGAGGCGGAGCUCAUUCCCUUGUACGGCUCUCCUCAAGGUUGGUAGGAGAGAGGGUCUGAGCCCCAGCGAGGACCCAGCCCCGCUGGAAAGACGUUCGCCUGAUAAAGCCCUCUCUUUUCAUCAACUCCCACAUCCGCUAACUCAGCAGAUGAACUCGUGAGCUGCGCUCAUCUUUGCCACGUGCUGCUGGCUGGAAGCAAGUCAACAGUUAGGCCCCAGUGGAGGGGAUUACGCAAGGCGUGGACACUAAGGCUCGGGAACCACAUGGGCCGCCCUGGACUCCGUCACAGCACAGCAAACAUCGACUCCAGCCCGGGCGUUGUGCUAGCACAUUAGGCCAGUGCUUGCGAGGCUGGCAGCCCGUAUCAGAGCGCCAGUUCGAGUCCCGGCUGCUCUGCUUCCGAUCCAGCUCCCUGCUAAUGCGCCUGGGAAAGCAGCGGAGGAUGGCCUGAGUCCUUGGGCCCUGACACACACAGGGGGGACCUGGGUGGAGUUCCUCACCCAGCCCUGGCUCUUGCAGCCAUUUUGGGGGGGGGUGAAUUGAUGGAUAGAAGAUCUCUCUCUCUCUCUCUCUCUCUCUCUCUCUCUCUCUCUAUUGCUCUGCCUUUGGAAUAAUAUGUUUUAAAAUAAAAUAAAUCUAUUGAAUAAAUGUGUGAGUGGA